UUCGUUGCCCACUCCCAUCGAUCCCAUCUAUCGUUUCCGCCGCCGCAGCCGCGAAAAAACUCCAUCGAUCCCUAUCCUUCCUUACCCACUCCCAUCGAUCGUUGCCACCGCCGCCGCCGUCCGAGGGGGAGAUGUUGCCGCCGCCGCUGCAAGGUAUGGCGGUUUGAAUCCCGCCCCCACCUCUGCAAGGCAGGGCGGUUUCAAUCCUGCCGCCGCCGAACUCCGGGAAUCGCCGCCGCCAAGUCUCCAGGGCAGGGCGGUUUCAAACCCUGCCAACGAACUCCGGGAUAUGCAUAAUCGUGGCUGCCGCCCCCCUCCCCCGGCUGCCCCGCGGUCGUCUAUCUCUCCCAACUCCGCUGUCGCGCCCCGUCUUCCAUCUCUGCAUGAAUCGCUGCUGUGGCAGCCACUCCCCAUGGCGGCCAUCCGGGCACACCGUGUCCGGGAUGAUGGAGGUGAUGUCGGCUAGGUCCCUGUUUCCGCCGGCAUCUUCUGCGAUGGGACCCAUGGGGGCAGGUCGCUCACUGCUCAUCUGCGUCGAUGGCGUCGGCAUGGUCCUUCCCCUGCCAAGCAUGGCGGCUCCUUGGCUGGAUCACAGUGAUGAUACAGUCGGCUCGGCGGGGGCUAGGGAUCUCACUGGCUGGCGUUUAUUUGAUUUCUGGGUGUUCCAAUCGUGAUGGAACGGACGUAUAAUGUACGGUACAAGAAUUUGGACGAGGCUCAUCUGCGUGGAUGGUUGUGGCUUGGCCACCGGGCACACAAUCCAUUGAUUCACACAUAAGGUCAAAACCGAGUCGCGGUGUUCACAAUGCUGGGCAUUAUUUAUAUCGAAGGACGAGGAGGAAGAUUUGGAUGACCAUAACGACAAUGGCAAGGGCAGCAACAUGGUCGUCACCUGCAAUGCCGAUGGGUGCUGAGAUUAUGAUGUUUGGUUUAUUUGUUGAAAGUUACAACCCAUGUUUCAUGAUUUAUUUGCCGCCGGUUAAUCAUGAUAUUUUGAAGUGCUCUGACAAUUUCUUGCUGUCUGCAUCUCUUACUUUUCAACUUGAUGCAUAUACAGAUAUACACCAUUAGAAUCUGUUUGUACAAUAUAUUUACUUAUUCAACAUGCUUCAGUUAUGCUUCUUUGAAAAUCCAGUUGUAGAUUGCAGUGAAGCCCCAUUUAGAUCUUGGCUAUAGUAUUAUUCUUGUCUUAUGACUCGUGACAGAUUGAUAUGUGAUACCAUGACAUAGCAUAUGUGGUACCGUGGUAGUCACAUUUGGUGGUAGUUCUGAUUGUUUGCUAGAUUACGAGAUAAGACCAAGUGCUUCUGCAACUCGGUUGCGGUUUUGAUAGGAACAUGAAGACUUGUGCCAUGCCAUGGAGCAUGUUUGAUUAAAAGGACAUAGUUGCUUCAAUAUAUUGAGCAGGGAGGAAGUUUGUUACAAGUGUUUUAUAGAGUCGACGAAAGAGACAUCCAACGGGAUACAUUGGUGAAGGAAUCGACGAAGAAGCUUCCGUUCAGCAUGGUAUCUCAAUGGAAGAAUAUCCGAAGCAAACCUCCGCUACUUCUUUGUUCCCUUUCAUUUGUCGUGGGAAGACCUUAGGAAGAGCGGUUGGGAGGAAGGGAGGCCUGUGCUAUAGAUGUAGGCGAACAAUGGUCCUUGGGAAUUAUUAGUACACUACAAAAUGUCUGUCCCCUGUGACGCCUACAAUGAGCGAGAGAGGGUGGAAGGAAGGAGAGCGGAGGAAGGAAGAUGGGGAUAUAUGUAGAGAGAGGGAGAUAGGAGGAAGGGAGAUAGGCAUAUAUGUAGAGAGAGGAAGAUCAGAGAGGGAGGGGAGAUUUACAGGACGAUUGUCGUUGAGCCACUCAAAUAUGAAAAUUUGAACAGACCUCGUCCACGCCGAUAAUUUCCAGGAGGAUUCUUUCAUAGAUUAUAAUAGUCAGUGUGACGCGGAGCAUCCGACGAUCAUCCCCAUGUACACUCGAGCCUACGCCAUUGGACCUAAGGUGAACUCGCUCCUUUCCGAAUCUUCCCUUUCCGCAUGCAAGACAUGGAUGCUACUUUAAGCGCGGACCUUAUUCAUACUCAGGUACACCCAAGGAGACCAUGGAGAACCCAAGGACCAAGGCCAAGCAUGCGCGGAAGCAAAGGAAGGAGAAGGAAGAAGAGACAGCUGCUACAGGCCCCGGACAUCCGGCCCCAG